UCUAAUAUGGCAGAUUAGUGCAAUGGAUUUAAGCUUCAUAUAUAAAGUAGUUUACUUUUGUUAGAA
rnacentral:tRNA from 1 species